CUCUAUAAUACAACAGAUCGGAAAAUUUUUGCUCUGGGAUUUGAAAAAUGAGUGCGAGACUUCAUGUUAUUAAUAUAAUUGGUACUACUGAUAGAAUGUCUGAGCUGAUUGUGCAAGCAGAAUCAAGUCCAGACUUCUAUUAGACAGGUGGUCAUAAACCAACAUCUUUUCUUCUCUUUGAAUGCAGACUCCUAGAAGUUUUAUGAGAUUUCGAUGCUGAAGUUUAGCUGAUAACUUCAUUCUUGAACUCAUCUGGUCCAUGGGGGGGAUUUUUUGACAGCAAUUUCCUGACCCUCCUAGAGCGGUCCCUAAAAUGGUAUUUGUUUUGCGCAAUGCCAGUUUACGAAUGUCGUCUUCCAUUCACUUUUUCACAUUUGACUUCGCAUGACUGAUUCCCAUGGCUAAAGAAUCCCAAUCCAAAGCUUCCGCAAGUUGAAACCAUGAAGAAGUUAUCGAUAAUUUCUGCGCUUGCUUAGAUGGUAGGACGACAAUUCAAUGAUGCAGAUAGGUCAGUUUUAUGGACCACACCAUCAACCUAGAGUGAAGGGAAAUGUAAAAAUGCUGACAGCCGUCCACGGAGAGUUGUGGACAAAUAUGUAAAAGCUGACUAGUCUAUGAUAUCUGGACAAAUUCCCCUUCUCCUUUUCCAGCAAUAUUCAACUGGAAUAAUUAGCUAGUUUUUUCUAUCUAAGUUAGUAUAGAAUAAUUAACCGUUUAGCUUAAAUGAAAAUUCGGCAAUAACUGUGCAUCUGUUAAUGGAAAUUAAUUUAAUUCUUCUGCUGGCGAUACAUUCUGUUAUGCUGGGGUUCCGGCCAUCUUACUUGUGAUUUGGCCUCCUCGGUCACAUUCG